rnacentral:SRP_RNA from 1 species
GCCUUCGCCGACAACUCGUCCUCGAUCGUAGGCCCAAAGCAAACAGUGCUGUCACCCGAGUACGCCACGAACAAGUCGAUUGCUGCUGGUGGUC